AGUGAACGCUGGCGGUAGGCCUAACACAUGCAAGUCGAACGGCAGCACAGUAAGAGCUUGCUCUUACGGGUGGCGAGUGGCGGACGGGUGAGGAAUACAUCGGAAUCUACUUUUUCGUGGGGGAUAACGUAGGGAAACUUACGCUAAUACCGCAUACGACCUACGGGUGAAAGCAGGGGAUCUUCGGACCUUGCGCGAUUGAAUGAGCCGAUGUCGGAUUAGCUAGUUGGCGGGGUAAAGGCCCACCAAGGCGACGAUCCGGAGCUGGUCUGAGAGGAUGAUCAGCCACACUGGAACUGAGACACGGUCCAGACUCCUACGGGAGGCAGCAGUGGGGAAUAAUGGACAAUGGGCGCAAGCCUGAUCCAGCCAUACCGCGUGGGUGAAGAAGGCCUUCGGGUUGUAAAGCCCUUUUGUUGGGAAAGAAAAGCAGCAGGUUAAUACCCCGCUGUUCUGACGGUACCCAAAGAAUAAGCACCGGCUAACUUCGUG
rnacentral:rRNA from 1 species